rnacentral:misc_RNA from 1 species
GAUGAAGAACGUAGCGAAAUGCGAUAAGUAAUGUGAAUUGCAGAAUUCAGUGAAUCAUCGAAUCUUUGAACGCACAUUGCGCCCGCCAGUAUUCUGGCGGGCAUACCUGUUCGAGCGUCAUUUCAACCAUCAAGCCCCAGGCUUGUGUUGGGGACCUGCGGCUGCCGCAGGCCCUGAAAACCAGUGGCGGGCUCGCUGUCACACCGGGCGUAGUAGAUUUUAUCUCGCUCAGGGCGUGCUGCGGGUUCCGGCCGUUAAAAAGCCUUUUUUACCCAAGGUUGACCUCGGAUCAGGUAGGAAGACCCGCUGAACUUAAGCAUAUCAAUAAGCGGAGGA